UCUGUCCCACUGCAGGCUGUGGGCCCAGGGCUGUGCUGGAGACAUCCCAGUGCCCAGCCAGCCAUGGUCCUGCAGCCUGGGGCCCUCUUGGUCCAGA
ensembl:miRNA gga-mir-1604 gga-mir-1604